CUGCUGUGGUGGAAGGGACUUUACAGAGAGCAUGAGUGACACAAGCCAUGCGCAGGAGGAACACUGACUCCCAGAAGUCCAAAUGGGAAUUUGCAUGGGAGGAAGAACUUUACGUCGAUAUCAGACCAGGAGUGAAGGACGAUGAAGGCAGAAGAACGCUCAGGACAAGGGCGAGCUGUGGAGAACUGGGGCUCCGGCUGCAGACUCAGGAAUGUGCUAAGAGACGGACGCGGGAGGAGCCGGAUCCAGGGGAAGCUGGAGUCCCACAGGGAGAAGGUAACCAUGUGGACCAGGGAGAUUGACGUGGCGCAGGCACGUGUCCAGGAAAAUCAGACUACACAAAGGGGCACACAGGACCCCCUGGAGGUGGCAGAGGAAGUGUGGAUUGCCAGCACCCUGGUCAUGGACAUCCAGUCUCCAGAACUGUAAGAGAAUAAAUCCCCAUUGUUUUAAGCCAGUC
rnacentral:lncRNA from 1 species